ensembl:lncRNA MAILR macrophage interferon regulatory lncRNA
GGAGGGGGACGGAAGAGGAAGGAGGACUGAGCCCGGGAGAGAGAGGGGAGGGGUCGGCGCGCGACCGGGUCAUGCAGGUGCAGACUGGCCGGUCGCUUCCCGCCCUCCAGCCACCCGCAGCUCCCCGGCAGGCGAAGGGCGGCCGCGCGGGUGUGGGCCGAGAGAGGGAGGCGGCUCGGCUGGAGCGCGCCGUCCGCCCGACCCCCGCCGCCUCUCGGGCGCCUGCGCUCACGCUGCGGGGCCCAGCGCAUUGUGAGCCGGGUCGAGCUCCACGCUGGCAGCGUCUGAGAGCUGUCCUGGGCCGGAGGUGGCGCGAACCCUGUGCGGCCUAGAGUGGGCCUGGGGAAGCCAGCUGCCAUGUUCUGAGUACUCUCUGGAAGGGCCUGCAUGGCAAGGAACUGAUGUUUCCAGCCAGCAGCCAGCAAGAACUGCAAGCCUUGUGAAUGAGCUUGGAAGCAGAUCCUCCCCUCACUCAAGCCAUGAUAUGACAACAGCCUGAGACCCAGAGGACACAAACCACAGUCAAAAAAGGUCUUCCUGAGUUCUGAAGGUCAAGCAAUUAGAAUUUUCUCAGGCUUGUAGAAGAGUGGAAUUCUGGAAACCAGUCUUCGCCUCAGGGGAGCAUCUGUUGGAAGUUCUUAGGGAUGCUCAGGCAUAUGGCCUCAGAAACAUGGGCUAUUGAGACAGAGAAAAAGACAACUCUGGAAGGAGAGAGCCUGGCCUUACAGAAGACAUCUGAACUAUCAAUCAACAGAAAUCUCACGUAUAGUUGAAGAAUCAGAAAUCUGAGCGUAGGAAGAAGUGGGUUAGCCCUGGAGAAAGGAAAAGGAGGAUCAUGGUUCUCUGCAAAGAGCUGGAAGCUAAAAAGCAGGCUGUGUUUACUUACCAACCAGGACUCAGUGGGAUCUUUGCCAGCUUCCAAUAUGGCCUUAAAAGUAUAUGAAAUCCAAGAAAUAUUUCUGCAAAGCAAGAGAUCUUCACUGCUUUAUUUUCCACCACCUGAAUCCUUGCAGUGAGUGUAGUGUGUAUCUAAUCAAUCUAUUAAAAAAUACUUCAAAAGUUCUAUAUAUGUAUCAAUAUUUAAUAUUGUUUUUACAUUAUUUAAAUGUUUUUCUAAAUAAUAUUAUAGUAUAUAUAUUCUGAAGCAUUCUAUUCAGUGACAAAGAAUGAUGUUUAGACAAUUUACAUUUAUAUAGGAAAACUCAUAACCUGAAUAUGUCCUGUGGGAUCAAACCACUGACCCUUCCAGGGUGGAAGAGACCUAAGGUAGUCAGCUUCCAUCAAGCGGCCAGUUGGUCUCAUUGAGGAAUGGUGUCACAUCAAGGGCUCAGUGUUGGUCUCUGUUGCAGAUAUAUCAGACAUUUGAUAAUGGCAGCAGCUGGAUCAGUCUUGGUAAGGGUUGGAAGUAUAGUUAGUCCUCACUUUGCAUGGUCCCAAUAUGCACAAAUCCUAGUUACCACCAUUUAGUUAAAUCACACCAGAACCCCAACAACAUGGUUCAAAUUUCAGCUACAACGUUAUUAACUGUGCACAAUUACACAAAGUACAAACCUCACUGUCAGCUCUUUAGUCCACAAAUCACUAUGUAAAUAACAGAUGCAUAGCAUGAUCAAUAACCAAUCACACCUCUCCUUUCAAAGUCCACUAAUGAUUGGCCACUGCACAUAUGUUCAGUUCCUACACAGCAAAGCGUGUAGUUGUGUUGCUGAUUUUCCUGUGAAUGAAGCCACAUGAUGGUUUACAAUAAUGGAUACUCAAAAGAGGAAAUUGGCCAACAAAGAUGAAAGCGCAGAAAAAAGUCCAAAAAGUAGUAAUGCUAGAAAUGAACUCCAAAUUGAAUGAGUUACAGAAAAACAGUUCACUGUGAGAAUGUGGCCACUGCAUCAUUCAAGAGGAUAUGCAGCCAGAGGAACUUAGCAAAGGCAAACUUAACAUAAAUGAGGAAGGAAGUGUGGCAAAAAGCAUGCUGUCUCAGAGGAAGCGGUCCUGGCAGAAACUUCACAUUGAAGCAACUCUGGGAAAUUUUUCAUGACGCUGAAAACACAAAGGAUAAAAUGUUGGGAGCUGAUCCAGUCUUAGAAAGGAGAACAAUUCAUCACGUCAGAGAAAAGAUGCUCUCUCCAUGUCGUAAGUUACACAAGAAGGAAAAAAGGCUGGGCGUGGUGGAUCACUUCUGUAAUCCUAGCACUUUGGGAGGCUGAGAAGCUCUGAGGAGUGAAUCCACAAUACAGUUCAAAGAGAGAUUUAAAUUGCUAAUUUCCCGGCACUGGAAUGUGGGGAAAGAUUGUCACAGAUUUAGCAUGAAAGCCAUGUAUUUAACAUUCCUAUGUAAUAACCCUCUCUUAAAUUGCAUUUUGGUUUGAGAAACAGCAAGAACAAAUUCAGCAUUAGGGGGAAACUUUGCUGUUGAUCUCAAAGGGAAUGAGAAUUUAGGGAGCACCUCUGCCCACCAGGAAGGAGCUUUCUCUUGAGUCUCCCACAUGACUGUGUACUAUGGAUCACAUUGGAAGAACUUCUCUUUUUCCUAAUGCUGUCUGAGUUUUGCAUUUUGGUGCCAGAACAGGGAAGUGAAGGGAUACAUAAGAGACACACAUAAUAGAAAUGUAAAAGACAAGCAAUACCACCAGACGAUAGAUGUAAUUUGGAACAAAGAUAUUUUUAUUUGCCUAAGGCUCAGAAAGUCGUGCCAGGCAAUGCUGGAAGGAAUUGGUUGGCUUCCUCUCCCAAACCACUUCCUCAGUGCUCAUCCUCUUUCAGGUGGACAAGAUAUGGCAUUUUGACUGCUAGCAAAUGUCACUGUGACAUUUCAAUGGCACAAUUGGUGACAAUUCAGCCAAUUUUUGUUGGGCACCCUCCACAUGCCCCAGGGUCUGGGCUCAGCCCUUUACGUACGUGGGCUCAUUGAUUCUUCCAUGUUUUCUAGAAUGUGAUUUUACCCUGGCUGGCACAGAGUAAAUGCCCAAAGAAUGGUAGCUAUUGUUUUUAAUCAUCAUUAUUAAUUUUAUAAAUAACUUCCAUAUCAGGUGAUGGGAAAAUUUCAGACUUUGAUUUGGGCCUUGGAAAACAGGUUCAGUUUCAGUAGAUGGAGGUAAAAGGAGGCAAAGAGCGACCUUACGUAAAUCCAAGGCUGAAGGAAGGAGGCUCUAAGGGGUGUGUGGGUGAUUAGGAGUAAAGUAUCUUGUCUGAAAUGAAGAGUUUCUAUACAGCAUGCUUAUUUGGAGUCAUGCCUAACAAGAUUACUUUGGGUCUAAUUUUGGAAGCUUGGUACUCCAGGGAGCUUGGACAUGAAUUUAAAGACAAUGGGAACUCACAUUUAAGUUUCUGAAACAGCCAGGCGUGGUGGCUCAUGCCUGUAAUCCCAGCACUUCGGGAGGCUGAGGCAGGUGGAUCACCUGAGAUCAGGAGUUUGAGACCAGUCUAACCAACAUGGAGAAACCCCAUCUCUACUUAAAAGAAAAAAAAAAUACAAAAUUAGCCGGGUAUGGUGGUGCAUGCCUGCAAGGGAGGAGACCACCCCUUAUAUUGUCUUAUGCCCAAUUUCUGCCUCCAAAGAAAGAAGAAGUAAAAACUAAAAGUCAGAAAUGGAAUUCACAAGCAGACAGCCUGGCGCCACACUCUGGGUCUGGUAGUUAAAGAUCAACCCCUGACCUAAUUGGUUAUUUGCAUAAGAAAAAGCACUGUGAAGAUCCCUGUCCUGUUCUGUUCCAUUCUAAUUACCGGUACAUGCAGCCCCCAGUCAUGUACCCCCUGCUUGCUCAAUCGAUCACGACCCUCUCACGUGGACCCCGUUAGAGUUGUGAGCCCUUAAAAGGGACAGGAAUUGCUUAUUCAGGGAGCUCGGUUGUUGGAGACAUGAGUCUUGCCGAAGCUCCUGGCCA